GGCAAGAUGGCCGAGCGGUCCAAGGCGCCACGUUAAGGUCUACAAAACCUUGAACAUCAAUUCCGUGGUCUCGAAAGGGGCGUGAGUUCGAAUCUCACUCUUGUCA